GAUAGAUGUUUUUAUAUAUAUUUAGUAGGUUCAGAAAUUGUCCACAUCAUUUUUGUGACUUAGCAGUUGGUCUUCUUCUGUUAGAGGAUGAAUGAAUAAAUUAUCUGUCAUGGCUCCUUUGAGAGUUAGGGAUCUAGAACAGAAAUGGGGAGAUUGCCCAUUUCUGACCUCUCUUCUGAUGUUUCCAGCCAGGCGUGCCAACUGUCUCAGUGGUUUCAGUUGUUUUCACCACUCAGGUUCUUGCUUAAACAGAUCUGAAGCUCUUAGCUCACUUCACAUGGCUAUCAGCAGAGGAAAAAGACUGAGGGAAAAGGACUGCAGAGGAUUUGAGGCAAAUCACAUGGCAGUGUGUCUCUGGUGCAGGAUGUAUAAACACAUGAGGGUUUCGCCUGACCUCACAAAUGCAAUGAGACAACCGCAGUUUUGGAGCAGACAAACUCAGUGACAAACCGAAGCAAGACCUCAAUUUGAUGGGAGAGAGCGGGAUGUGGACUGAUGGAGGGUGAGGCUGCAGGCGGUGACUGCCAGGUCUUGUCUGGCCCCCAUGCCUGCUCCAUGCACUGCUGCCACCAUGUCCUGCAAACCCCUGUGGUCCUGGGAAUUGGAGGUUUCCAUGACAGACCUGGAAUGGAGGAGAGUAAGAUGUUUUAGUGAAGUUAUUUGAAGAGUCAGCCUUGUAGUGCAGAGGAAUCAGGCAGUUUUGGUGUCCAGCUCCAGAGCCAUGUUGCAUGGACAGGCAGCAGCAUGAGCAGGAGGCUGUGACUGCUAUAAGAGGCACAGCACAGCCCUUGCCUCAACCCCAUGAUGCUGUGUGGGAUUAAGAAAACUUCUGGAUAAAGAUGCUCAGCAUUUGAAAUUGUCUGAAAACUUAUUUUUUUUUCCAACUAUUGAUUAUUUCAGAUUAACUGUGCUUCUCCACUCAAAUUCAGUAUUUAGUAGCUGGGCUGUGCAGUGACUCCUUGGCUGCAGUUUGGGAUGAUUUAAUCCUUGUAAUUCGUGUGGGUAACACUGAGGUGUAGUGCCUCCAGUGGGGAUUUGGGCAGCCAGCGAUGAGAUGCGAGUCCAGUCUCUUGCCACUGCUACUUCCAAAGGUGGUGGGGAGGACAGGAACAGACAAAGGCUUCCUCUUCCAAUUGUCCCAGGUACAUCCCAUCCCUCUGGGAAAGCCCUCACCCUGCCUUUCCCUUUUCCCCUCCCCACUGAUGAUGAAAGCCCCAAGAUCUCUAGUAGAGAGCGAGCCUUGUGUGUAGAAAGUGAUACAAAGGGACUUAAAUCCUUGGUUUCUGGUUCCUAGGGACUACCUUUUUGACCAAGCAACUGUUAUCUUUGGCAUAAUUUUUUGGUCAAAAAUAAUUCAUUAAAAAAAUUGUGUUUCUAACUAUGAAUUUGUUUUUACUUUGCUUUGUUUGAGUCUAUAUGUUGUAGCUGGAACAUAUUUUUAAGAAUUUUGCAGCUAUGUGGGCUAGUGACUCUUCUUGCUCAUCUGAA
rnacentral:lncRNA from 1 species